AACUCAUGAUGUGGACAUUUACAUAAAAACUCCCGAAAACACUCUCAAACUUCAUAUACAGACUUUCAGUCCUGUUAAGAAAAUUCAGUUAUAUUCAUACGAAAUUU